UUGACCUCGGAUCAGGUAGGACUACCCGCUGAACUUAAGCAUAUCAAUAAGCGGAGGAAAAGAAACCAACAGGGAUUGCCCCAGUAACGGCGAGUGAAGCGGCAACAGCUCAGAUUUGGAAUCUGGCCCCCAGGGCCCGAGUUGUAAUCUGGAGAGGAUGCUUCUGGCGCGGCGCCUUCCGAGUUCCCUGGAACGGGACGCCGGAGAGGGUGAGAGCCCCGUACGGUUGGACGCCUAGCCUUUGUGAAGCUCCUUCGACGAGUCGAGUAGUUUGGGAAUGCUGCUCAAAAUGGGAGGUAAAUUUCUUCUAAAGCUAAAUACCGGCCAGAGACCGAUAGCGCACAAGUAGAGUGAUCGAAAGAUGAAAAGCACUUUGAAAAGAGGGUCAAACAGUACGUGAAAUUGUUGAAAGGGAAGCGCCCGUGGCCAGACUUGUGCCCCGCGGACCACCCGGCGCCCUCAGCGCCGGUGCACUCCGCGGGGCGCAGGCCAGCAUCGGUUUUCCUAGGGGGAUAAAGGCGGCGGGAACGUGGCUCCCUCGGGAGUGUUAUAGCCCGCCGCGCCAUGCCCCUGGGGGGACCGAGGACCGCGCUUCGGCAAGGAUGCUGGC
rnacentral:rRNA from 1 species